GAUGAACGCUGGCGGCGUGCCUAAUACAUGCAAGUCGAGCGAACAGACGAGGAGCUUGCUCCUCUGACGUUAGCGGCGGACGGGUGAGUAACACGUGGAUAACCUACCUAUAAGACUGGGAUAACUUCGGGAAACCGGAGCUAAUACCGGAUAAUAUAUUGAACCGCAUGGUUCAAUAGUGAAAGACGGUUUUGCUGUCACUUAUAGAUGGAUCCGCGCCGCAUUAGAUAGUUGGUAAGGUAACGGCUUACCAAGGCAACGAUGCGUAGCCGACCUGAGAGGGUGAUCGGCCACACUGGAACUGAGACACGGUCCAGACUCCUACGGGAGGCAGCAGUAGGGAAUCUUCCGCAAUGGGCGAAAGCCUGACGGAGCAACGCCGCGUGAGUGAUGAAGGUCUUCGGAUCGUAAAACUCUGUUAUUAGGGAAGAACAAAUGUGUAAGUAACUAUGCGCGUCUUGACGGUACCUAAUCAGAAAGCCACGGCUAACUACGUG
rnacentral:rRNA from 1 species